GACGAACGCUGGCGGCGUGCCUAAUACAUGCAAGUCGAGCGAAUCUAUUGGGAGCUUGCUCCCUUUUGGUUAGCGGCGGACGGGUGAGUAACACGUGGGUAACCUGCCUGUAAGACUGGGAUAACUCCGGGAAACCGGGGCUAAUACCGGAUAAGUUGUUCCUCCGCAUGGAGGAACAUUGAAAGAUGGCUUUGGCUAUCACUUACAGAUGGACCCGCGGCGCAUUAGCUAGUUGGUGAGGUAACGGCUCACCAAGGCAACGAUGCGUAGCCGACCUGAGAGGGUGAUCGGCCACACUGGGACUGAGACACGGCCCAGACUCCGACGGGAGGCAGCAGUAGGGAAUCUUCCGCAAUGGACGAAAGUCUGACGGAGCAACGCCGCGUGAGUGAUGAAGGUUUUCGGAUCGUAAAACUCUGUUGUUAGGGAAGAACAAGUACCGUUCGAACAGGGCGGUACCUUGACGGUACCUAACCAGAAAGCCACGGCUAACUACGUGCCAGCAGCCGCAGUAA
rnacentral:rRNA from 1 species